rnacentral:rRNA from 1 species
AUCAUACUCAAAAAAAAGAGUUUGAUCCUGGCUCAGAAUGAACGCUAGCGAUAUGCUUAACACAUGCAAGUCGAACGUUGCUUUCGUUGUUACGUGUUGAAGGUCGCAUUCGGAGGAGAAAACCUUUCUUCUUCUCUGAGCUGCUCAACCCUUAGUCAGUUGAGCCUGCGGCCUCCGAUCAACCGUGGGAACCGUUGAAAACAAAGUGGCGAACGGGCGAGUAAUAUGUGGGAAUCUGCCAAACAGUUUGGGCCAAAUCCCGAAUAAACGAAAGCUAAAAGGCGCUGUUUGAUGAGCCCACAAAGCAUCAGGUAGUUGGUUAGGUAAAGGCUGACCAAGCCAACGACGCUUAGCGGGUCUGUUAGGACGAUCCGCCGCACUGGGACUGAGACACGGCCCAGACUCCCACGGGAGGCUGCAGUGGGGAAUCUUGGACAAUGGGCGAAAGCCUGAUCCAGCAAUAUGGCGUGAGUGAGGAAGGGCAAUGCAGCUUGUAAAGCUCUUUCGUCGAGUAUGCGAUUAUGACAAGACUCGAAGAAGAAGCCCCGGCUAACUCCGUGCCAGCAGCCGCGGUAAGACGGGGGGGGCAAGUGUUAUUCGGAAUGACUAGGCGUAAAGGGCACGUAGGCGGUGAAUCCAGUUGGAAGUGAAAGUCGCCAGCUCAACUGGCGGAAUGCUUUCAAAACCAAUUCACUAGAGUAAGGCAUAGAGGAAAGCGGAAUUUCGUGUGUAGCGAUAAAAUGCAAAAAUAUACGAAGGAACGCCGAAAGCGAAGGCAGCUUUCUGGUUCUUUAACCGACGCUAAAGUGCGAAAGCAUGGGGAGCAAACAGGAUUAGAUACCCUGGUAGUCCAUGCUGUAAACGAUGAGUGUUCGUUCUUGGUCUACUGAUAUCGCACUCUUUCGGUCUAACUUAAGCUCGGCUUAAUGCUUAAAUUACUGCAAAGGUAGUGUGACUCGAUUGUUUCCUUCAAGUUCCAACAAUCGUGAAAAAUAUGUGAUGAUCAGGGGCUGAGCUAACGCGUUAAACACUCCGCCUGGGGAGUACGGUCGCAAGGCUGAAACUGCGCAAAACCUUACCAGCCCUUGACAUAUGAAUAAGUGUGCUUGUCCUUAACGGGAUGGUACGGAAAUUUAUACAGGUGUUGCAUGGCUGUCGUCAGCUCGUGUCUUGAGACGUUGGGUUAAGUCCUAUAACGAGCGCAACCCUCGUUUUGUGUUGCUAAGACAUGCUCUAGUUCAAUCCUUGACCACUGGAGACUGACGAAGACUACGCCGUGAAAAUGGAGGAUACCAACGAGCUGAGUUUUUGCAAACGCCGUGUGGCUCAUUCCGAAAAGAAUAUGACCAUACAAAGUUUUAAUACGGUACUCCCCGACGAACGAAGCUCUCGGAGCAUUGUACACUUCACACUGAGGGACUCAGUCUUAGUCAAAAUGAUUGACACUCCAAGCCAUGUGCUGCACUCACAAAAAACUGCCAGUGAUAUACUGGAGGAAGGUGGGGAUGACGUCAAGUCCGCAUGGCCCUUAUGGGCUGGGCUACACACGUGCUACAAUGGCAAUUACAAUUGGAAGCAAUGCUGUAAGGCGGAGCGAAUCCAGAAAGAUUGCCUAAGUUCGGAUUGUUCUCUGCAACUCGAGAACAUGAAGUUGGAAUCGCUAGUAAUCGCGGAUCAGCAUGCCGCGGUGAAUAAGUACUCGGGCCCUGUACAAACUGCCCGUCAAACCAUGGGAAUUGGUUUCGCCCGAAGCAGCCGACCACGGAUCACCCAUUACUCGGGGUGUUCCACGCCGUUGUUGAGUGUGGUCUACCAGAGGCAUUGGUGAUCUUAUGUAGGAGACCAAGGUUGGGCCAUUGACUGAGGUUAAGUCGUAACAAGGUAGCCGCAGGGGAACCUGUGGCUGGAUUGACUCC